CCGCGAGACCAAGCAGCUUCUUCCAUUCUCUCACACUCUGUUCAUACGACUCCUCUGAGACCUUCUCAUCUUUACUUAGCUUUUCUUCGAAGAAAGCUAUGUAGAUGAAGAGAAAUACGACAAGGUUGAAAUUUGACAGAGCACCACUCAAAGCAAUACCUUUGAUCUCAAAACCGAGGUAUGACACUAGGAGGAAUGUAACCGGAAAGUGGAGAACACUCGCAAUCCCUGUGCAUACGGAUAAAGGUAUAGUCUUUGACUGUGUCCUGAAAUAAGCUCUUAAUGGGUGUAAGAAAGAUUGAGCAAGGAGAUCUGGAACAGAGUAAAGCAGAAAGGUGUGAGCUAUGGAUGCGAGCUCCUCGUCCUGUUUUAACAAUUUCAGAAUCCUCUUGAUGUUUAUCCAUAGAAGAAAAACAGGGAGAGUUGUGACGCAAGCCACCCGAUCCUAUUCAAAGUAAAAGCUUGUUUCUUUGCACGAGUAGUAACUAUGAUACGAGAGUACUUGGUGGUGAUUAUACUUAUGUUAGCUGCAAGAUACAUGAAAAAGUGGAGGUGAGUCAUGCAUUUGACAUGACGUCUUGUGAUUGUUUCGGUUACUUGCGAGUUGAGUCAGAACAUCAGAAGAUGGCUACGGUUCAGCCGGUGCUGUGAGCUGUUGGAGCAUAAAGAGAUUACACAUGAUUUAUCAAGAUCACAAUGCAUGGGAGACGGUGUCUCACUAAUUAUUCUGUCAGUGUUUGUGCAAUCUUCUGCCAAACUUGCAAUUAAAUAUGAAAGUCAUAUUAUUAUUAUUAUUAUUAUUAUUAUUAUUAUUAUUAUUAUUAUUUUAAAGAAGACGGUCAUAUUAAAAGAGCAAUUAUCUAUCACUCUUAAAGACUCACUCCUCUCUAAUCACCAACCUUCCAACCUCCAUAUCUUCCACAUUGCUGAAGCUUAUGACGCCAUCCGUCGUUUUUGGCUCCCUAGCCCUUUCCGUCGCUGUUAGCUCCCUAGCCCUUUCCGCCUCCAAUGGCCAAUUAAUCCUACACAUCGACACCAUCAUACCAAUCAUACAUGAUAUCUGCGCCACGAGCAUCCCAAGCCAAAGUCCCAUGAAUCCAAACCCAAACCAAAAAGUUAAAACCAUUCCUACAGGCAAACCAAUCACAUAAAAUGCCGCUAUAUUGAUAUUAGCUCCCGUCAUCGGCCUCGCCGACCCUCUGAGAACGCCGCAUCCAGUAGUCUGAGGGCAGUUUCCCAGCUCGCAAAGGCCAACGACUGGUAGAACCAUCAUAGUCAAAUUAAUGACUUCUUCAUCAUCCGUGAAAAACGUAGCCCAUACCUUUCUGACUGAGAAAGUGAAUAUGAGAGCCAUGAGCCCGAGGGCGAUGCUGAGACCAAGUCCGACAAAGGUGGCUCUUCUCGCUCUCUGUGGCUGGUUCGAACCCAGCUCGUUUCCUACACGAGUCGAGACUGCGGAGCCCAAUGAAUGAGGGAAAAUAUAAACAAGGGAAGUGAUUUGGAUGAGAAUACCCAUUGAAGAAACGGAUACUUUAGGGUUUAUAAGUAACCCACAAAGCACAAUCAUGAUCUCGUAGCACCACCACUCGAGACAAACUGCAACACAACUGGGUACCGCGAGACCAAGCAGCUUCUUCCAUUCUCUCACACUCUGUUCAUACGACUCCUCUGAGACCUUCUCAUCUUUACUUAGCUUUUCUUCGAAGAAAGCUAUGUAGAUGAAGAGAAAUACGACAAGGUUGAAAUUUGACAGAGCACCACUCAAAGCAAUACCUUUGAUCUCAAAACCGAGGUAUGACACUAGGAGGAAUGUAACCGGAAAGUGGAGAACACUCGCAAUCCCUGUGCAUACUGAUAAAGGUAGAGUCUUUGACUGUGUCCUGAAAUAAGCUCUUAAUGGGUGUAAGAAAGAUUGAGCAAGGAGAUCUGGAACAGAGUAAAGCAGAAAGGUGUGAGCUAUGGAUGCGAGCUCCUCGUCCUGUUUUAACAAUUUCAGAAUCCUCUUGAUGUUUAUCCAUAGAAGAAAAACAGGGAGAGUUGUGACGAGGAGUAGGAUGAUUCCUCGACGGAUU
rnacentral:lncRNA from 1 species